rnacentral:rRNA from 1 species
GGAAUUUUUCGCAAUGGGGGAAACCCUGACGAAGCAACGCCGCGUGGAGGAUGAAGGCCUUCGGGUCGUAAACUCCUGUCGACCGGGACGAACGUAGAGGGGAUUAAUACACUCUUCUAUCGACUGUACCGGUGGAGGAAGCCACGGCUAACUGGUUGCCAGCAGCCGCGGUAAUACAGAGGUGGCAAGCGUUGUUCGGAAUUACUGGGCGUAAAGGGCGCGUAGGCGGCCUUGUAAGUCCUGUGUGAAAUCCCCCGGCUCAACUGGGGAACUGCACAGGAGACUGCUUGGCUUGAGUUCGGGAGAGGGAAGCGGAAUUCCGGGUGUAGCGGUGAAAUGCGUAGAUAUCCGGAGGAACACCGGUGGCGAAGGCGGCUUCCUGGACCGACACUGACGCUGAGGCGCGAGAGCCAGGGGAGCAAA